AUUGAACGCGGGCGGCAUGCUUUACACAUGCAAGUCGAACGGUAACAGGGUGCUUGCACCGCUGACGAGUGGCGAACGGGUGAGUAAUGCGUCGGAACGUGCCGAGUAGUGGGGGAUAACGCAGCGAAAGUUGUGCUAAUACCGCAUACGUACUGAGGUAGAAAGUGGGGGACCUUCGGGCCUCACGCUAUUCGAGCGGCCGACGUCUGAUUAGCUAGUAGGUGAGGUAAAGGCUCACCUAGGCGACGAUCAGUAGCGGGUCUGAGAGGAUGAUCCGCCAAACUGGGACUGGGACACGGCCCAGACUCCUACGGGAGGCAGCAGUGGGGAAUUUUGGACAAUGGGCGAAAGCCUGAUCCAGCCAUGCCGCGUGUCUGAAGAAGGCCUUUUGGUUGUAAAGCACUUUAAGCGAGGAGGAGGCUACCUGGAUUAAUACUCUGGGAUAGUGGACGUUACUCGCAGAAUAAGCACCGGCUAACUCUGUGCCAGCCGCCGCAGUAAAAC
rnacentral:rRNA from 1 species